UUGGCUGCAGGGGCCUGGGGGGCAGAGAGAAGCCUUCUCUUCAUGGGGGCGCAGAGCGCAUUCUCCCUAGAAAGGGCCUCCUCCCUUCGCGUCCAGGUCGCAAACCGGGGACAUGAGGGGUCGGGGCGCUCUCUCUGUUCUGGCGCGGGAGAGGGUCCGGGACCAGCAGUUUCACGUCCCGGGGGUCCCGCCCAGAACACGGAGGCGUCCCUCCCUUUGGGGGCACCGACGGGAACAAGGGAUUUCGGCUAAGCGUGCUCAGAGACACGGCGAGGGGAGGAGGGUGCCACUGACCGAGGCCAUGGGCAGCUGUGGCGGGCAAGUCGAGUGCCAGAGCAACACCUGGGCGAAGGCCGCCUCUGCACAGCUCCCAGCAGGUGGAGCCAGCCGGGACUGAGCCCCAGGACCCCCCCCCUCCCCAGCCGCAUGAGGUGCCGCCCAUGGGACUCUCCUCCCGUUCCUGAUGCAGUGCGUGCAGGUUGACCUGAAGCUGCGGGUGGAGAAGCUGAACGUGACCAUGGUGCCCGGGGUUGCGGGGGCUGGCGAGGGACCCAGCCCCCCCAGGCUGCCAACCAAGGAGACGAAAGAGGACCGAGAGGAGCGCGUCCUUGCCAUGCUGGGCAUCGUGGGCACCAUCCUGAACCUGCUGGUCAUCAUCUUCGUCUACAUUUACACCACCAUUUAGGCUCCAGGCGUGACCACCGGGGCCACCCUCGUGCCCUUCAAGGUGGCUGGCGGAAGCCAUGCAGGACGGGCAGCAGGAAGGGCCUGGACUGGCAUGGAGCUGUGCCAUCAUGUCCCGGAAGGUGGACUACCGUUGCCCACGGGGCUUAGCCACUUUGAGGAACUUGGCAUUAAAACCCGGCUUUGCAGCCGCCACUACCUGGGGCUACCAGGACUGAAACUGCCUGGUGGCAUGAGACACUGCCCAGUCCGUUUAAGCAGCCUCUGCCCACAAUGCCCGGUGCCCACCUGCACAUGCGCAGAGGCAUCCAGCCCUUUCCAGGGGAGAGGCUUUGCCUUCUCCUGCCGGAAGGCAACCGACGUAGGGAGGGGGUCCCUUUGUGCCGCCGGGCAUGCCUGGAUGUGGCAGACGUGAGGAGCGGAAGGUUGAACACCCGGCCGUUGCAUCCUCUUCCUAUGCGCGACACUUGUAAACACCAACAAGCACAACACCUGCUCUUCCCCUCCCUUCCUCCUCCGUGGGAAGCCGUCACUGCCACAGAGACCCAAAUGGGGUCCGGGACAGGCUCUGGGAAGCAGGAGGCCUCUGUCUUCUAGCAGCGGGUCCUUUUCUCCGGCACAGCUUCCAGCCCAAAUUUCUCACCAGCCAGCCCCCUGUCUCCAAGCAUCCUCCUCCUCCACCACCACCCCUCCGAACCCUGUGAGAGCAGGUCCUGCAACUGCCUGGCCUGCUCCCGAGGGUGGUGUCUCGCAUCCUGGCACCUGAUGCGGCCCUCUCCUCAAACCAGCACCCACGUCACGCCUGGGAGUCCCUUGCAGGGAGGCCGUCCACCUGGAGCCGCCUCUCGCCUGAAGAAGCCCUUGAUACAUUUGGGGGUCGCGCCAGCAUCCCCAGCCUUAACACGCCACUCCCCCUCCAGGAAAUGCCAAGGUGGUUAAUUCCGGGGCCCUGGGCAAGGAAGGGCAAGGCCAAUCCGGGCCUCCUCUGUCCAAGUGCUUUACCCCCCCCCAGCUGGUGCUGGGGCGGUACCCACCCAUCCACCCUUGGUGCCACCGAUAGUCUGUGCAGAUGAGCCUCAUGCCCUUGACCUAGAGAAGGGAGCCCUUCAGGACCCCCUGGAGCCGUUAGCCCACGGCUGGAAGAAGAU